GCAGGCCCCGAGGUACAGGGGCAGGUGCAGGGGCCGGGUAGGUGGGUGUGGGGGAAACGGGGCGCGGUCCCAGCCGGAGCAGAAGCAAAGGCUGGCUGCAGGAGCAGGGCUGGAGAGGCAGGAGGUGGUCCGCGAGGGGAGGGGGCGAGUGAGGAGCAGCCGGGCAAGAACGCGUCUUUCCUGUCGCUGAGCCCUUGCGGAGGAUGAGCGGGAGGGUGAAGCCAUCUAAGUUACCUCGGGGGAAAAAAAAGUCUAUGUAUAUGUACAUGUCAUUAAGAUAUAGUUCACAUUCCCUACGGCUAUACCGUUUAAAGUGCACAAUUCAGUGGUUUUUAAUGUGUACAUAAGGUUGUGCAGCUCCUACCAUUAGCUCAUUUUAUUUUGUUUUUAUUUUUAGUUUUUAGUUUUUAAGCUCUUUAUUGGAAUAUAAUUGCUUUACACUCUUGUACCAGCUUUUGAGGUACACCACAGUGAAUCGGCUGUAUUUAUACACAUAUCCCCGUAUCCCCUUCCUCCCGCGACUCCCCCCCGCCCUCCCCGUCGCGGCCCUCUAAGGCAUCACCCACCAUCGAGUUGAUCUCCCUUCGUUAUACAGCAACUUCCCACUAGCUAUCUAUUUUACAGUUGGUUGUGUAUAUAUGUCUAUGCUACUCUCACUUUAUCCCAGCUUCCCCUUCGGCCCCCCCCCCAACCCCGUGUCCUCCAAUCCAGAACAUUUUCACCACUCCUGUAGAAACCUGGUACUCAUUAGCAAUUCCUCCCUCUCCCCCCUCUCUCCAGCCCUGAGCAACCACUAAUGGACCUCUGUCUCUCUGGAUUUGACCAUUCUGGACAUUUCCUGUAAGUAGAACCACACCCUGUGUGGCCUUUUGUGCCUGGCUUCUUUAACUGAGAGUGACAGCAUCAAGGUUCCUCCUUGUUGUGGCCUGUGACAGUGCUUCAUUCCUUUUCAUGGGUCAGUAAUAUUCCACUGUUUGGAUAGACGGCAUUUGUGUGUUCAGUCAUCAGCAGAUGGACCUUUCCAUUUUUUCCACUUUUGGGCCAUUAUGAAUACAGUAAGUGCUCUACAUAUGAACCUUCAAAUUGCAAACUUUCAAAGAUGCGAAUGUGGAGCUUGCUAAUGAGGAGCUGAUGGAACUGGAGGCCCAGAGAGAGGAUGAAGAGACACAAGAGGAAGGUGAAGUAACUGAAGAACCGAAGAGAUUCACGAUAUAGGAAGUGGCAGGGUAUUUUCUUUGUUUGAGGAGGCACUGUUAGAUUUUGAGGCACAGGACCCAAACGUAGAACAGUACCGGAAGGUUGCAGCAACUGUGCAGAAUGCAGGCCAGUGCUACCAUGUCAUCUAUGAUGAGAAAAAACCAGCUACUACUCAGACAUCAUUGGGUCAUUUUUUUAAGAGGGUAGAUAGAAUUGAAUCCAGCAAGGAACCAGAACCAGUGCCGUCAAGGUCAGGUGUGAGUGAAAUUGCAGCUUGCUCUCCGUCUCCUAUUCCUGAUGAUCCUUCAGCCCUACCAUCUCGCACCCCCUCUCCCUCCUCCAGUCGGUGGCCUGUUCACUUGAUGCCACCCCUGUAUGCCAGCUGUCGUGCUGUACUACUGUACUUUUCAAGGAACAGAAUAAGCAGUUGGACUUUGUCUCCUGUGGACGCGUCAAGAUAAUAGGAACGGCAGGAACAGAGACGGGCUGAACCCUGCUUAGAAGUGCAGCUCCCACAGGACGCCAGCAGAGGACAGCAGCCACCCAUAAGUGAAACCAGGCACCCUCGCUUCUGUGGCGGAGGUAAGGACAGCGGGUCAGGACAGCCGGUCUGGACCUGGGUUACAGCUGGGUGAGGAGGGGUGGCCAGAGGGGAGCACCAAGGAAGGCUUCUGGGGCGCCAUGCCAUUCUGAUUCUGAGUCCUGACUACAGAGGUAUGCAUUUUAUGUGGAAAUUGAUUGUACACUCAAAAUCUCUGCAGUUUUCUGUAUGUUAUAGGUCAAUAAAAACUGUGGGGGGCGGGGGGAGAGGAGAGGGAGGGGCCCGUGAGAGUGGACACACUACAUAAAUUACCUGGCAGAGCUCAGGAGGUCAGACCUCAGGAUGUACAAGGCUGCCUUUUCCCCAGGGGUGCACCCGGCAGGCUGUGGGCAGAGGCAGCGUCCACCAGCCCAUCUGAGCAAACCUGGCUUAAAAUGCCUCUUCUGAGCCAAGUAGGUGCCUGCAGGCGUCAGCUGUAUCUCUGCCACGUGCUUCUCUGCCAAAGGCUGUGUGUGAGUGAGCAGUGGAUGGGCUGCUUGCUGUGGGCAUAUCUGUGGUCCGGAAGGCACCAGACCUUACCUCCCAUGGGCCCCUUCCCUCCUCCACCAACAUUCCUGCCAGCUUGACUCGGAGGUCCAGUUAACUCAAAGGCAGAAAGGCCCAGUUGUCAGUCUUUUUGCCAUCAGUCCAUCCACCCAUCCACCCAUCCACCCACCCAUCCACCCAUCCAGCUAUUCAUCCAUCCGUCUGUCCAUCCGUCUGUCCGUCCAUCCAACUACCCACCCACCCAUUCACCCAUCCAUCCAUCUGUUCAUCCAUCCACCCCUCACUGACCGAUUCAUUCAUUCAGCACUUUCUGGUGCCUCCUCCAUGCCUGGCACUGUGCCAGUGCUGCUUCCUGGCCUCUUUUCUGGAAAGUGUUAGCCAUUCUCUGCUUUGCUGUGGCUCUUACAAAACAUGGACGGAUGAAUGAGUGUUGCCGAAAUGUGGGGUACACACCAUCUGUGGUAGGGGGUCAUGGGAACCUGCAGGUGAAAGUGUGUGGGCACUGGGGAUGUGGGUGCCCUGGGGCAGGGGCUCUGCGUCCAGCCUUAGGGUGGGGACAGCCCUGUCUCAGGCACACACCUUGGCCAAGCUCUGUUCCAGGGAAGCCCGCAGCUGGUCCUGGAUGCCAGGACAGGGACUGGGUCUGAGGCUUGUCUAGAGAGGCCAGUGACUCCAGGAGCCUCAGUCUCAGCCGCCCCCUUAGCCAGUUGGUAGGCACGUUUGGGAGAGUGGGGAGAGAGGCUGUGAUCACCAGGAAGGACACGCACCAUCUAAAGAAGAAAAGCCACCGCCAGGCUCGUCAAGUGCAAGAAUGUGACGCGGUGAAAAACACGACUGUGUCAUCGGUGUGAUUUUUCAAGAGAACAUGCAAAUCUGGAUUUUUAUGUGUAUUUACCUGGUUUUUAGAUGUUAAAUUAACUAAAAAAAACUUAACAAGCAUUGAACCUAGUAAACAGAGGUGUCUUGGGUUGGUUGCAGUUCACGGCAGCCUCUACCUUCAAGAGAACAACAGGGUCCUCAUAGCAGAUGCAGGCAGGAGUGCCCCCGGCCUGACACCUCAGGCCCCCUCCCUUGCAGGCCCUGGUCCUUCACUCUCUGUGCUCUGGGGCCAGCCCUACCCUGCUCCCACUGCACCGCUCCAGGGACCAGCAGUAGGAACCAUUUGGUGCUGGGUGCCAGGGGGCCUGGGUCCCAGGGACGUCUGUGUAGCCAGCUUGCUGUGUGACCGGAGCAGAGCCCUGACCCUCUCUGGGCCUCAGUGUGCCUAUCUGUGAAAUGAUUGCACUGUCUGACCAGCUCAACUAGGGAUCCUUUCACUGCCAGAUCCCAGGUCUUUGUGAUGUUAAUCUGUUGUUGUUUUUUUCCCACCCAUCUCUACCACCCUCGUCCAAGUCCCAUCAUCGCUCACCUGAAUUUCUGCAACUCUCCUCUCUGGCCCCCCACCCCAAUGUGGUUUCCACCCAAUGCGGUUUCCACCCAAUGCUGCCAGGAUCUCGAAAUGUGAAUCAUGUUCAUCACUGCUUUGGUUAAGACCGCCAGCCCCUGCCGUGGACUUACCACUGAGCGUGGGUCCUCACAAAGCUGGGGGCUGGUGUGAGUUGGUUCCUGAUCCUGUCCUGCCCCAUCUCCUGCUGCCCUGACCACCAUCACCUCCAGACACGAUGAACUUCUUGCCACUCCUACAGCUCACCCAGCACACUGCUGCCUCAGGGCCUUUGCACAAGCACUCUGUUGCCUGAACCGUCCUGCCUUCCUCCAGGGUUUUAUAUUCUGGCUUCUCCUUGCUCAGACUCCAGGGGCCUCCCUGCCCAACUCGGUCACUCUGAGUGACUCUUGGUCACACCCCUGUUAUAUUUUCAUCAGUGCCCCUUCCUGCCUCUGAGAUGAACUGGUGCUGGGUUCAUUUCCUCGUUCAGCAUCUGAUGCCCUGAGGGAACAGGCUGUGUCUGCCUUGACACGCUGCUGCUUCUUUUUUUUUAAACAAUAUUUAUUUAUUUAGGCUGUACCAGGUUGGUCUUAGUUUUGGCAUACAGGAUCUUUAGCUGCGGCAUGUGGACAUCUUAGUUGUGGCAUACAUGCAGGAUCUAGUUCCCCGACCAGGGAUCGAAUCUGGGCCCCAUGUAUUGGGAGGGUGGAGUCUUACCCACUGGACCACAAGGGAAGUCCUUCACAGCUUCUUCUUUUUUUUUUUUAACAGACAAUAAACUGCAUAUGUUUAGAGUGUACAGUUUGGUAUCCCAAUCUCCCAACUCAUCCCCCCCAACCCUCCCUGCUUUCCACACUUGUUGUCCAUAUGUUUGUUCUCUACAUCUGUGUCUCUAUUUCUGCCUUGCAAACAGGUUGAUUUGUACCAUUUUUCUAUAGUCCACAUAUAUGGGUUAAUAUAUAAUAUUUGUUUUUCUCUUUCUGACUCACUUUACUUUGUAUGACAGUCUCUAGGUCCAUCCAUGUCUCUAGAAAUGUCCCAGUUUCCUUGCUUUUUACAGCUGAGUAAUAUUCCAUUGUAUAUAUGUACCACAUCUUCUUUAUCCAUUCAUCUGUUGAUGGACAUUUAGGUUGCUUCCAUGUCCUGGCUAUUGUACAUAGUGCUGCAAUGAACAUUGGAGUGCAUGUGUCUUUUUGAAUUAUGGUGUUGUCUGGGUAUAUGCCCAGCAGUGGGAUUGCUGGGUCAUGUGGUAACUCUACUUUUAGUUUUGCAAGGAACCUCCAUACUGUUCUCCAUAGUGGCUGUAUCAAUUUACAUUCCUACCAACAGUGCAAGAGGGUUCCCUUUUCUCCACACCCUCUCCAGCAUUUACUGUUUGUAGAUUUUCUGAUGAUGCCCAUUCUGACCGGUGCCUCACGGCUUCUUCUUGAAUGUUGCCUGCAUGGAUGUCUGUAAGCUCUGGGUGCCAGAGAGCUCUGUCAUCUUGGGCAAGUCACCUCUCCCCGCGCCUCCCCGAGAGUGUUUCCUCAUCUGCCCACUGGAGCUUUAGCUUUAGAUCUCAUGUGAGCCUCUCAGGCCCCUGGGAGGACCCAUGAGAGGCGGGGGCUUCCGGUGAUGCUGUCCCUGGGAGCUGCCCCCAUCAGGACUAAGGAAGUGGAUCCAAAGCUUUAGAAGGAACUUUUAUUUUUUUUAUUUCUUAAUUUAUUUUUUGGCCGCACCACACGGCAUAUGGGAUUUUAGUUCCCCGAUCAGGGAUUGAACCCAAGGCCCCUACAUUGGAAGUGCAGAGUCUUAACCACUGGACCGCCAGGGAAGUCCCCAGGAGGACGUUCUUGACCGCGAGGCAGCCAGGGCCUUGUGAACUUGGGUUUGCUGAGACUUCCCUGGGGACGCAGCAGCCCUUGGGGCGCCUGAGGCCCUCCCUGGCCCUGAAGGUGUGUGGGUAGAGGCCUCCUGACAUCUGGGUGAGAAACACAGUCUUUCUUUCAUGAAAUGAUGGUGAUUAUAGGUGAUGGAUUAAAGAAGUGUCCUCACUUACCCAAAUGAAAACACUGGCAACCCUGGGAUGGUCCCAGAAAGGUUUGGGGAAAUUUUAGGUCCACGAAAUCCUACAUACUACUCUGUCGGGUUGCUGGGACCAGGGGUUGGGAUCUGGGGGUCGUGGAAGAGGCUGCUGGGAAGGUGUGACCACAAUUCCCAUCCCCCUAUAUGUGUAUGUGCAAGCACACGUACAGACAAAACAACACAGAAACACAUGCACGCAAACCACACGUGUGUACACACACAGACACACACACCCAUGCACGUGCUCCCCAGGGAGCCGAAGACCCAGGAAUAUCCUGAACGAGUUGUGUGUCUGGGGCCGAGGAUAUGGAGGCUGAUGCGUCCCUCCCCAAAUUUGCAGGUCCCACCACGGGGCUCUGGGGUUGGCCCCUCGAAUUUCCUGGGGCAAAAGCCACGUGGACGGGGUUUGAGAGGAAGGUGUCGUGUACGUAGAUUUACUCAGAUGCAUGUUCAGCCACGGUCCUCUGUGGAUUUGUGUACAUUCACUUAAAAAAAAAUGGUUUCCAUAAAAGGAUUUUUGGUAAUCACCUCAUUUUUAAUACAAUGUUUAUAUACAAAAACCCCAUUUUAAACUACUUACUGUACAAGAGAAAGUAGAAGCAUCAGAUGGCAUGAUUUUAGCAAAUAACGAACAUCUACGACACCUAAGGACUUCCCUCCUAGUUGACAGCUUACGGGAAGGUCAGCGUCUCACCGACCACACGUUCAAGACAAACACGUUUAUGUUUUCGUCCCUCCCUUCGGUGAAGACAUUUCUUUUCUGUUUCUCUGGGUGCUUGAGAAAUUUCAGAUCAUCGGUUAGUAUAAUGACUACAAGUUGAAAUUAUUCCUAUCAGCUAUGAGAUUUGUUUUUACAAGCUUUUAAAAUGAUAAUUGUCCAACAGGAAGCUUCCUGUAAGUAAAAAUAUAGAGAAGUGUUACCAAAAUAGAAGCCUUUAUUAAUAAAAAUCUUUGGUAGUAACAGUAUUUUAAAUUCCUCUCCAUGAUAUUUGGUUAGCUAAUAAAAUAACGCCUUCCACCUUUGAGCUACAGAGAAAAAACCCUUACAUCCACUGUGGAGUUGAUUUUAAAAAACCCAAUAAAUAUUCUGAAGCUGCAAAAGUACCCCCGGAAGCCUUAAGACUUCUUAAAACCCUUAAGACUUCUUGAAACCCUGAAGCCAUCUGCAGAAAUGCCUCUGCAGUCAUAAUCUCUCAUGGCCCAUUUUCCUGUCACCCUACGCUGGGGGGAGGUGUGUGGCUGAGGGUGGGGACCCCAGAGGUGCCUGUCACCACUCAUUCAGGACACCUGCACCCCACUACUUCUCCAAGAGUCAGUUCAGAGCUCCCGGGCCCUCUGAGUGGACACAGCCAGGGCACCUCUCUUUCUGACCAGUGUCUCGGUUUCUGAACACACGGAAGGAAAAGGUGAUGAAAAACCUCACUUUUCUGACCUAGAGACAAGUGAUGUCUUUUGGAACUGGUGUCAACAUCGUUUAUUCUGUAUCCAUUUCUCUGUUUUGCCUUGGAAUACCACCUUGCACCUCUCUUAAGGCAUCAGGAAGAUUAAAGAAGAUGACUUCUGGGGGCAGCUGCUCAUCUCCAACUGCCAAAGAGACCGCAGGCUCCAAGCAUCGCUUCCGCAAAGCACCUGCAUCUGCUGUCUGUCACCCUGUCCCCAGCAAUUGUUUUGAUUAACCUUGAAUACUAAAGAUAACAGAAUUCCCUGCAUGAUGGUUUUGUGUGAAAACAAACAAAAAACCCCACAAAAACAGAAGAUGGAGAAAUUUUGUCCUAUCAGAAGAAGGUGGUCUUCCAGGUUUGCCACAAACCCAGGAGCCACUGGGCCAGGUGUCCAGCAGCUGCUGCUUGCCCUGCUCCUCCCUCAUGAACAGCUCCACCAUGAGCACCUUCUCCUUGUGGAUCUGCUGGCUGAUGUCCUUGGGGAUGUCGGGGAUGACCCAGUCCACAAAGU